UGCCAGCCGCCGCGGUAAUACGGAGGGUGCAAGCGUUAAUCGGAAUUACUGGGCGUAAAGCGCGCGUAGGCGGUUUAGUAAGUCGGAUGUGAAAGCCCAGGGCUUAACCCUGGAAUUGCAUUCGAUACUGCUUGACUAGAGUAUGGUAGAGGGAAGUGGAAUUUCAAGUGUAGCGGUGAAAUGCGUAGAUAUUUGAAGGAACACCAGUGGCGAAGGCGACUUCCUGGGCCAAUACUGACGCUGAGGUGCGAAAGCGUGGGGAGCGAACAGGAUUAGAUA
rnacentral:rRNA from 1 species